CAGGAGUUACAUACUCAAAUGCUUCAGGAUUGCAUUGAAGAACCAGGUCAUGAAGCUCUGAAGGCUCAACUAAUUCAAAUGGAAUUGGCCUCGUCUCAUCUCUAAGAUUCAGGUAGGAAACGUCCGUUUCUCGAAGCAGAUCAGCGAUUCGAGCAGACUGAGAGAGAAUUUCACUUCGAUUGAAAGACAAAACACCUCUAACGCUAGUACCACCAGUUUCAUCGAAUAACCGGAAGUGCGGAUCCGAUGCGCCACAGAACACCGGAAGCGAAGGCAGUGGCAAGCACGGGGCAACCUCCGAGUGUAUCGUGUUGGAUAGUCCUAUGCCCCGUGGAACGGAGCCAGAGGUCCAGCCCGAGGCAGAGCCGGUUGCAUAUGAAUUUGAAUAGCUCAUCGAUUGAUUAACCGGUGAGUUAACGAGUGGCAAAGUAAAAGCAUGAACAGAGAGUGAUGUAGAGUAGUGCGGAAAUGGCAAUCAUGUAAUAAGGUGGAAGUAUAGGGGUAAUUAGAGGAGAAUUAGGGUUUUAUGAGUUGCAAAGAGAGUUGGGAGCCCUAGAAGGAGAGAAUUAGGGAGAGCAAUGAGGGAUACAAAUGGCGGGGAAAAUGGG
rnacentral:misc_RNA from 1 species